rnacentral:rRNA from 1 species
GACGAACGCUGGCGGCGUGCUUAACACAUGCAAGUCGAGCGGUAAGGCCCUUUCGGGGGUACACGAGCGGCGAACGGGUGAGUAACACGUGGGUGACCUGCCCUUAGCUCUGGGAUAAGCCUGGGAAACUGGGUCUAAUACCGGAUAUGACUCCAUGACGCAUGUUGUGGGGUGGAAAGCCUUGUGCGGCUAGGGAUGGGCCCGCGGCCUAUCAGCUUGUUGGUGGGGUGAUGGCCUACCAAGGCGACGACGGGUAGCCGGCCUGAGAGGGCGACCGGCCACACUGGGACUGAGACACGGCCCAGACUCCUACGGGAGGGCAGCAGUGGGGAAUCUUGCGCAAUGGGCGAAAGCCUGACGCAGCGACGCCGCGUGAGGGAUGACGGCCUCGGUUGUAAC